CUAAUACAUGCAAGUCGAACGAACUCUGGUAUUGAUUGGUGCUUGCAUCAUGAUUUACAUUUGAGUGAGUGGCGAACUGGUGAGUAACACGUGGGAAACCUGCCCAGAAGCGGGGGAUAACACCUGGAAACAGAUGCUAAUACCGCAUAACAACUUGGACCGCAUGGUCCGAGUUUGAAAGAUGGCUUCGGCUAUCACUUUUGGAUGGUCCCGCGGCGUAUUAGCUAGAUGGUGGGGUAACGGCUCACCAUGGCAAUGAUACGUAGCCGACCUGAGAGGGUAAUCGGCCACAUUGGGACUGAGACACGGCCCAAACUCCUACGGGAGGCAGCAGUAGGGAAUCUUCCACAAUGGACGAAAGUCUGAUGGAGCAACGCCGCGUGAGUGAAGAAGGGUUUCGGCUCGUAAAACUCUGUUGUUAAAGAAGAACAUAUCUGAGAGUAACUGUUCAGGUAUUGACGGUAUUUAACCAGAAAGCCACGGCUAACUACGUGCCAGCAGCCGCGGUAAUACGUAGGUGGCAAGCGUUGUCCGGAUUUAUUGGGCGUAAAGCGAGCGCAGGCGGUUUUUUAAGUCUGAUGUGAAAGCCUUCGGCUCAACCGAAGAAGUGCAUCGGAAACUGGGAAACUUGAGUGCAGAAGAGGACAGUGGAACUCCAUGUGUAGCGGUGAAAUGCGUAGAUAUAUGGAAGAACACCAGUGGCGAAGGCGGCUGUCUGGUCUGUAACUGACGCUGAGGCUCGAAAGUAUGGGUAGCAAACAGGAUUAGAUACCCUGGUAGUCCAUACCGUAAACGAUGAAUGCUAAGUGUUGGAGGGUUUCCGCCCUUCAGUGCUGCAGCUAACGCAUUAAGCAUUCCGCCUGGGGAGUACGGCCGCAAGGCUGAAACUCAAAGGAAUUGACGGGGGCCCGCACAAGCGGUGGAGCAUGUGGUUUAAUUCGAAGCUACGCGAAGAACCUUACCAGGUCUUGACAUACUAUGCAAAUCUAAGAGAUUAGACGUUCCCUUCGGGGACAUGGAUACAGGUGGUGCAUGGUUGUCGUCAGCUCGUGUCGUGAGAUGUUGGGUUAAGUCCCGCAACGAGCGCAACCCUUAUUAUCAGUUGCCAGCAUUAAGUUGGGCACUCUGGUGAGACUGCCGGUGACAAACCGGAGGAAGGUGGGGAUGACGUCAAAUCAUCAUGCCCCUUAUGACCUGGGCUACACACGUGCUACAAUGGAUGGUACAACGAGUUGCGAACUCGCGAGAGUAAGCUAAUCUCUUAAAGCCAUUCUCAGUUCGGAUUGUAGGCUGCAACUCGCCUACAUGAAGUCGGAAUCGCUAGUAAUCGCGGAUCAGCAUGCCGCGGUGAAUACGUUCCCGGGCCUUGUACACACCGCCCGUCACACCAUGAGAGUUUGUAACACCCAAAGUCGGUGGGGUAACCUUUUC
rnacentral:rRNA from 1 species